rnacentral:rRNA from 1 species
UACAGAGGGUGCAAGCGUUGUUCGGAAUUAUUGGGCGUAAAGAGCGUGUAGGCGGCUAGAUAGGUCCGUUGUGAAAACUCGAGGCUCAACCUCGAGACGUCGGUGGAAACCACCUGGCUAGAGUCCGGAAGAGGAGAGUGGAAUUCCUGGUGUAGCGGUGAAAUGCGCAGAUAUCAGGAAGAACACCCGUGGCGAAGGCGGCUUUCUGGGACGGUACUGACGCUGAGACGCGAAAGCGUGGGGAGCGAACAGG